rnacentral:rRNA from 1 species
AGCAGCCGCGGUAAUUCCAGCUCCAAUAGCGUAUAUUAAAGUCGUUGCAGUUAAAAAGCUCGUAGUUGAAUUUCGGGGUCAGCAGGUUGGUCGUGCCAAUGGUAUGAACUGGCCUUGCUGAUUCCUCCCUCUUGAUGAGCCGUAAUGCCAUUAAUUUGGUGUUGCGGGGAAUCAGGACUGUUACUUUGAAAAAAUUAGAGUGUUUAAAGCAGGCAAGCGCUUGAAUACAUUAG